rnacentral:rRNA from 1 species
GACGUAGGGCGCGAGCGUUGUCCGAAUUUAUUGGGCGUAAAGAGCUCGUAGGCGGCUUGUCGCGUCGACUGUGAAAACUCGGGGCUCAACUCCGAGCUUGCAGUCGAUACGGGCAGGCUAGAGUUCGGUAGGGGAGACUGGAAUUCCUGGUGUAGCGGUGAAAUGCGCAGAUAUCAGGAGGAACACCGAUGGCGAAGGCAGGUCUCUGGGCCGACACUGACGCUGAGGCGCGAAAGCUAGGGGAGCGAAAGGG